ACUUAGCAGAUUGUUUGGUGCACUUCAUGGAAUAACUGACCGUCUAUUCAUUUUCCCAAGCAUUGCUUUCAAACAAACGGAUUCUUGUGUCAUGUGUAAUAUUCAUCAAGCAGAUAAUCUCCACCCCCAGACUGAAGCCAUCUUACAGAAGAGAGCAGCGAGAGCAGCAGCAGCAGCAGAGAAACCAGACACUAAUAACACUGACUCACAGCAAACGCAAGUCUAAACAGUUCAGAAUGUCGUCGGG